UACGUAGGGUGCAAGCGUUAAUCGGAAUUACUGGGCGUAAAGCGUGCGCAGGCGGUCAUGCAAGACAGAUGUGAAAUCCCCGGGCUCAACCUGGGAACUGCAUUUGUGACUGCAUGACUUGAGUACGGUAGAGGGGGAUGGAAUUCCGCGUGUAGCAGUGAAAUGCGUAGAUAUGCGGAGGAACACCGAUGGCGAAGGCAAUCCCCUGGACCUGUACUGACGCUCAUGCACGAAAGCGUGGGGAGCAAACAGG
rnacentral:rRNA from 1 species